CCUGGCUGCAGAGGAGAGAGAAGGUCACACUCGGACUCACGAUCUGUGACAAUCAAGGGCUGCGCGGUGGGUGUCGCACAUGGCGGACCAUGCACCCCCAGGAGCCAGACUUGUCCAGGGCACCCCAGGGCUGGCUCACGGCUCACCGGCUCAAAGACGCCUGCCUGACCCCUGGACACCGGCGCCCUGCACCCUGGUGCUCCCACCCGACACGCGCCUGGACAGCGAGCUGCAAACAAAUGGCCAGUACAUUCUUCCGGUGGCGCCCGCUCAACGGAGGGCAUGAGGACAUGGCACUGGCUGGCUCACUGCAGGACCUGGGGUAUCCAAACGUGCCCAGGCACACAAUAAACAGUUGCAGGCCAGAAACAACCUCCUUUCCAUCACAAACAGCUUGGGAGCUGAGGCGCUACAAAGGGAACAAGACUCAGGCCUCCAGCCCAAGGGCCUUCCUCCAUAGAGGAGCUGUGACGGAGCAGAGCCACAGCACGAGCUGGCCCGGAGCUACCACGCAGCUGCUGCCCACACCAGCCCUGCCCGUGGGCCGGUUCCGAGUUGUCCCUUCCACCUGCCCUCCUCCGGCAAAGCUCAGAGAACCUCACAGCUUCUGCUGCGGGGACUCAUUCCCUUCAGCGAAUGGCUUUUCUGCGGACUUCAUGACUGCCCAGGUGCGGUGCCUCACGCCUGCAGUCCCACUGCUUUGGGAGGCCAAGGCAGGAGGACUGCUGGAGGCCAGGAGUUUGAGACCAGUCUGAGCAACAUAGGGAGACUCCGUGUCUAGAAAGAAUUUCAAGAAUUAGCCAGGCAUGGUGGUGCACCUCUAGUCUCAGCUACUUGGGAGGCUGAGAAAGGAGGAUCGCUUGAACCCAGCAAGCUGAGGGCACAGUCAGCCACAAUGGCGCCACCGUACUCUAGCCUAGGCAACAGAGCCAGACCCUGUCUCAAGUAAUAAACAAAAAACAAACACUUUGUGGCUGCAUUUGCAUCCUGCCAGGGCCCUCAAUGAUCCUGCCAAGAACACCAAGGACAUCCGCAAACACGCACCCCGCCCCCGCAGGCCCAGAGGAAAGAAAAGCAAACCAAGAGCCAAAAACAAAUGAAGCCAUUCAACCCUGCAAAGAAUCAAAGAAAUGCAAAUUCAAACAAGACAGCCUAUCACAUUGGCAAAGGGAAAAAAGAAUAAAAAUACAUAGCGCUGGCAGGGAUCUGAGGGGACAGACGCAGCGCUACGGGUGGGGCUGUCAAAUGGCAUCGCUUCUGGGGGCAGUUUUCCAAUGAGCAUCAGAAGUCACAAAGAUGUUUGCCUCCCCGACCCUGCAGCUCCCUCUCCAUGCUCUGUCCUUCAGGGUCCGGCGUGGCACAGCGACGAGGGCCGCGUCUGCUGGCGGGACGGGACGCCACUUGCUCCACCUACAUGUUCAGCGUUUCCGUUCCUUACUAUAAUCGAGCGUUGCUUUUGUGACUUGUACUUUUUUAAAUGCCAUUAUUAAAAAGUCUGAAAAUAUGUUUUUUUCCUAUGGAGAGAUGUAUAUAACGCAUAAUUAAAUGACUGAGGUUGUCGUGCAGCACACAGAGCCGUAUGUGUUUUUAAACAGCCACAGUGCGCACAAAGCAAAUCUGUGAGGCCAACACCCACCCCAUCUCUCCGAUGAGCGCUGCAUAGUGAGCCGCCGUGCUGUUAGGAGCCUCGCUGCUGCUGCUGUUCUAAGCUUCCAGCAAGCGAGCUAUGGGCUGGGAUCUCCCGGAAUCCCUCCCUGCCCUCUCCAACCUCAGCUGCUCCUAGCUCCCCCAGGGUCUUCCCACCCUCCCUUCUUUCCUCAGGGCUUGCCCACCCUCACCCUCGAUUCCUCUGCCACACCUUCCUUAAGGUGGGACUCCGAGCCUCCGGGCAUACGCAAAGUCAUCCCCUUGGAAAAGGACAUCUGUCCUUAGUUUAAUCUAGAGACAAACAGCGCCGCUAGAGUGUGGAGAAGACGGCUACCCUCGGAAUAAUGUUCCAAAUGCAUAACAUACACAGGACUAUAGGAGAAAGCAAUUAUAAUCCAAUACACGUAUCAAAUUAUUGAAGUAAUGGAUCUGUGAUGUAGUAAUACGUGACCUGCAUGACACAGCAGCAGGUCACGCCGCAGUAACCCGGCAGCGGUGCUCGGCACAACUGGCAUGGUGUCACUACCGUGAUGGGACCCCUGCAGCAGGACGUGGGAACACCCGUGACUUCUGAUGACAGACAUUUGUUGCUGAUGUUCAUUGGAAGGAAAUGGUACGCUUUGCUCAAGGGUUAGUGAAAAUUAGUAAUUUCCUCCCAUCCAGCCUCAGAGGUCCCCUGACUUCUAUCUGUGACAUCCGAGCUGAGAGCCCCAGACAGAGCGUUAGGAAACCUCAGAGACCACCUAGCUACUUCUCCCUGGAAGCUCAGAGACCGGCCAAGCUCACACCUCUCCAGCUGCUGGAAACUCAGGCCCAGAGCCCCGCACUGGCCGCUGCUGGCCCCGCACGCCACGGGGCUACCGACACUGGGGAAAGAGACAGUGGGGUCUCGGCUGGGUUGUUGUCUCCACCCUCACCAAAGAAACUCCAUGGACCACCCAUAGUCCCUCAGAUCUGCCAGUCAUACUGGGAGGCGCAGUGGGAGGAAAGACCUGAAGAAGUGAUCCUGAGCUCACAAGACACCUACACUCUCUUCAAAGCCAAGGGUGCCGGCUGCCAUCUUAUCCAUAAACCCACAAAGAAGCACAGAAAAACGCUCCACAAAAUCUGACUACCCUUUGGACGAAACACCAGCAAACCAAAUGCGGCAACAUCUAAAAAGGACUAGGCACCAUGACCCAGAGGAUGUAUGACACAGUGCAAGGCUGGUUCAAAAUACAAAAAGCAAUGCAUUGCAUCUCAUUACAAUAAAGCACUAAGGAAAACACAGGAUCAUCUCGACAGAUGCAGAAAAUGCAGUUAACAAAAACUCCCCACCUCUACAGGACAAAAGUAUGGAACAGCCGACGCAGAGAAGGGAGGGCCCAGAGCCUGACAAAGGGCACGCACGGCCCACGGCCAACAUCGUGCUCGAUGGCCAAAAACUGCACGUUCUCCCAAAGACCAGGGUGCCCGGCUCACCACAUCCAGCCAACACCAAACUAGAGAGAGGUCUCAGCCAGGACAAUUAAGGAAGAAGACAAAAGGCAGCCAGGUUGAAAGGGAAGAAAUAAAACGAGCUCGAAUCACAGAUGACAGGAUCCUGUGUGUACAAAGUCCUGCGGACUCCACUGAGAAGCUAUUACAACUAACGAGAGCUCAGCAGGGUGCAGGGCAGGAAAAACCAACUGCAUUUCCACACAAUUUCCAGGAGCAAUCCGAAAAUAAAAUUCACAGUCCCAGCACUCUGGGAGGCCGAGGCAGGCGGAUCACCUGCGGUCAGGAGUUCAAGACCACCUUAUCCGUAAACGUGGUGAAACCCCGUUUCUACUAAAAACACAAAAAAUUAGCCAGGUGUGGUGGUGUGCACCUGUAAUCCCAGCUACUCGGGAUGCUGAAGCAGGAGAAUCGCUUGAACCCGGGAGGCGAAGGUUGCAGUGAGCCGAGAUCGCACCACCGCACUCCAGCUUGGGCAACAAGAGUGAAACUCCGUCUCAAAAAAAAAAACAGAAAAAGAAAAAGAAGGGAAGAAAAUUCACAACUCUUUUUUUUUUCCCGAGACACAGUCUCACUCUGUUGCCCAGGCUGGAGUGCAGUGGUGUGAGGUCAGCUUACUGCAACCUCCUCCGCCUCCCGGGUUCAAGCGAUCCUCCCACCUCAACUGGUCUCCAACUCCUGACCUUAGGUGAUCCACCAACCCUGGCCUCCCAAAGUGCUGGGAUUACAUGUGUGAGCCACCAUGCCCAGCUAAUAAUUCUAUUUAGGAUAACAUUAAAAAUAAAUAAGAAUAAAUGUAACAAAAGAAGCAUAAAGGUUAUACUCUGAAAACUACAAAGUGUUUUUGAAAGAAAGAUCUAAAUAAACAGAAAGACAUCCCACGUUGAUAGCUCAGAAGACUUAACAUGGGUUAACAAUGGUAACGCCUCGUAAGCUCAUCUCUAGACUCAACGCCAUCCCUUCUCAUCCCGGCAGGCUUUCACUGAGGGCAGUGUUUUUCGAGGCCCAUCUGCAUGGCAGCGUGCAUGGGUGCCUCAUCCUUCCUUAGAGCUGGAGAAGAUUCCCUCGUUGUGUGGACACGCCACUCACUCAUCCACUCAUCUGAUGACACGUGCGUCGUUUCCACCUUUUGGCUGCUGUGAAUAAUGCUAUGGGCAUUCUAGCACCUGUUUUUGUCUGAAUGUGUGUUUUCACUUCUUUUGGGCUCAUACCUAGGAGUGGGACUGCAGGGUCAUAUGGUAAUUCUAUUUCCUUUUGAGGAGCUGCCAGCCUGUUUUCCAAAGUAGCUGUACUAUCUGACAUUCCCACCCACCGCAUACGUGGGUUCCAAUCCCCCCACAUCCUUGCUAACAUUUGUUAUUAUCUGUCUUCUGAUCACAGCCAUCCUAGUGGGUGUGAGGUAGUAUCACCCUGUGGUUUUGAUUUGCAUUUUCCUAAUGACUAAUAAUGUUGAGGAACUUUGCAUGUGCUUAUGGGCCAUUUGUGUAUCUCUCCUUUGGAAAAAUGUCUAAUAAUACCCUUUGUUCCGUGCUUUAUUUUUUUUUCUCCCUCUGAGUUCUUUACAUUCUGGAUACAAAUGCCUUAUCAGAUAGACGAUUAGCAGAUCGUGUCUCCUAUUCGGUGGGUCUUUUCACUUUCGUGAUAUCACUUGAAGCACAAAAGUGCUUAAACUUGAUACAAAUCUAACUCAUCCUUUUCUUGGUUGCUUAUGCUUUUGGCAGUGUAUCUAAGAAAACACUGCCUAACCCAAUUGUCACAUUUAAUCCUAUAAUUUCUUCUAAGAGUGUCAUAGUUUUCGCCCUUACGUUCAGACCUCUAAUGCAUUCGGAGUGAACUUUUUUUUUUGAGAUGGAGUCUCACUCCGCCGCCCAGGCUGGAGCGCAGUGGUGCGAUCUCGCCUCACUGCAACCUCCGUCUCCCAGGUUCGAGUGAGUCUCCUGCCUCAGCCCCCACUCCAAAUAGCUGGGAUUACAGGCGCACACCACCAUGCCUGGCGAAUUGUUGUAUUUUUACUAGAGAUGGGCAGCUAGUCGCGAACUCCUGACCUCAAGUGAUCCACCAGCUUCAACGUCCCAAAGUGCUGAGAUCACAGGCGUGAGCCAUCGCGCCUGGCCUGGAGUCACUUUUUUUGUUUUUUUUUUGUUGUUGUUGAGGCGGGGAGAUGGGAGGCGCAGGGAUGGAGUUUUGCUCUGUUGCCCAGGCUGCAGCACAGUGUCGUGAUCUUGGCUCACCGCAACCUCCGCCUACCAGGUGCUAGCGAUUCUCCUGCCUCAGCCUCCCAAGUAGCUGGGAUCACAGGAAUCACCUGGCUAAUUUUUUUUUCUUUUUUUUUUUUUUUUGAGAUGGAGUUUCGCUCUUGUUGCCCAGGCUGGAGUGCAAUAGUGUGGAUCUCGGCUCACUGCAACCUCCGCCUCCCAGGUUCAAGUUAUUCUCCUGCCUCAUGAGUAGCUGGGACUACAGGCAUGCACCACCACACCUAGCUAAAAACACACCUGUAUUUUUAGUAGAGACAAGGGUUCACCAUGUUGGUCAGGCGGGUCUCGAACUCCUGAUCUCAGGUGAUCCGCCUGCCUCGGCCUUCCAAGGUGCCGGGAUUACAGGCGUGAGACACCGCGCCCAGCCGUAAAUUUUGUAUUUUUAGUAGAGACAGGGUUUCAUCACGUUGGCCAGGCUGGUCUCGAACUCCCGACCUCAGGUGAUCCACUCGCCUCAGCCUCCCAAAGUGCCAGGAUUACAGGUGUGAGCCACCUCGCCUGGUCCUGGAGUGAGCUUUUGUGUAUGGUGUGAGGAAGGGUAAUAACUUUUUAAUGAAUUAAUCAUCAUUGGAAAAGAAUGGUGAACCAAUUUGUGGUUUUCAAAAAUGGCAUGAAAAGGGGAAAGACGCAUUUAUCCUACUUUUCCUUUCCAGAUGAUACCACGAGUUAACCCAAAAGUUACUGGGGAGAAGUUUCUCUUUAAUGAAUUCCAUCUCAUGAAUGUAUCAGGCUGUGACCUUUCUGCACUCUCUAAUGAGUUAAUGAAUUUAGGCCAGUUAUGGCCAUAAAUGCUGCUGCUGUCACAGGGAGAUGCCAGAUAAAGAACACCCACCACCAGUCUCUGAACAGGGAGGGGAGAAUCAACUCUGAAUGUGAUGCAGUGGCCAGGAGAGAGGACCACGUUCAACAACGCCACACAGAUGCAAAUGACCUGUUUCUUCAACAAACUGCAAGCGAAAAAAUUAAAAUGGGGGAAGCUACAGAUUAAAAUAAAUGGGUUUGGAUAGGAGAGUAUUUAAUGGCAAAAUAAAAAGAAAACAUUAAAAAAUGAAAUUGCGCAAAACUUAUUUGAAUCCUGUUCGAGUGAGCAACAAAACAUGAUGAUGUACAUGAAACAACUGGAAAGAUAACUCUGGACGCUGAGAUAUGAAGCUAUUACUGCUCAUUUCUAUGUAUCAAACAGUAUGGUAUUGUGGGUACGCUUUUAAAAAGAUUUGUAUUUUAGGGAUACAUACUGGAAUUUUUACAGGGAAAACCGAUUGAGGAUGCUGGGCAUCAGGUCACCAGUACGGAGUGAAUUUUUUACAAUAAGCAGUAAUUCUCCCCAGCCCCAUGCAUCAUAACCAAUCCUAAAUGAAUGCCAACCUGGAAAACACCAAAAUAAACCAUGUGAAGAGGGGAAGAGCUGCUCUUGGUGAUGGGAGAAUGGGGACUCUCUCUUUUAUUAUGCAAAUUCCACUUUCCAUCAUGCGGGAAAAUCCAUUUUGAAGGCAGCUCCUCUCUGUGCCGGGGGUGGGUGAUCCAGCCUAAGCUAGAAUGGCGGCAAGCUCAAGGCAGCUGUGGCCCUCAGGAGAGCAUCUGGAGUCCACAGCACAGUGGGAAGCGCAAUGGCGGCUAGUCUGAGGGUCUGGACGAUGGCCAUGCACAGAUGGGGACAGAGGAGCCACUGUAGUGACUGAAGCCCAAGGCAUCCACCCUCUCCAGCCAGCCCCGCCCACACCUGAAACCCACAGCGUCCACCCUGUCCACCCAGCCCUCCCACACCUGUGGCCUUCCUCUCCUUCCUGUUUGGUGAGUCGUGCCUCCACACCUGGCUGCGUACCAGAGAGGCCUGCACAGGUCAGAACACAGGUUUCCAAACCCCACCCCAAGUCUGAACCUCCAAGGACACCCCGAGCUCCCCGAGGUCCUUGCAUAGAGGGCACAGGCCAGAGACAGCCCAGGUGGGAAGCUUACUGAGUCAGCUGCCCUCACCAAGAUACAUCCACAGGCUCCUGUACACGGAGAGGAGGCAGAAGACCUCUCUGCCAGGAGGUCCUCCUCAAUCUCCCAAGCCCACACCACUGCCCUGCUCCAUCUCCCACCACCUCCCCCUGCAGAUACGGGGCCACCCUACCCACCUCACAGGAAUGAUGGGAAAACCUGCCUCCCUCUAGGAGGAGGGUGUGGCACAGCUGCUGCACAGGUAAGGAACCUCGCUAUGCCUUGCUCCCAUCAACACUUUUAUUCUAGAUUUGAAGAUGUUUUGGGGAAGCCAUCUCUGCACAAAAGAAGUCAACGCAGGAAUACAUUCCAAGAUACGGAACUACCUCAAACAGAAAAUGUUACUAAAAUUAAUCCUCCACAUAAAUUAUAGUUUUUUCCUUUUCCUCAAAGAAGGGGAAAAGAACCACCAACUCAUCUAUACACACAAGCAACUGGCCCUGGUUUACAACGACGUAAAGACUUUUAGCCUCCUGCUACCAAAAAGCAAAGGUUUAUUUCAUGAUUUCUUCUUUCUUUUCCAGAGACAGGCUCUUGCUCUGUCGCCCAGGCUGGAGUGCAGUGGCAGGAUCACGGCUCACUGCAUCCUCAAUCUCCCAGGCUCAGGUGAUCCUCCCACCUCAGCCUCCUGAGUAGCUGGGACUACAGGCACGCUCUACCACGCCCAGCUAAUUUUUGUUUUUUAUCUUACGUAGAGACAGGGUUUUGCCGUGUUCCCCAGGCUGGUCUCAAACUCCUGGGCGCAGAUGAUCGACCUGCCUCGGCCUCCCCAAGUGUUGGGAUUACAGAUAUGGAGUCUCACCACGUUGACCAGUGGCUGGCCUCGAAUUCCUGGCCUCAAACGAUCCUCCUGCCUCAGCCUCCCAAAGGCCUAGGAUUACAGGUGUGAGUCCCCAUGCACAGCCAGGGUGAUGUUUGAGGAUUCUCAGAGAAGUUCCCAGACCCAAGACAAGGUCUUAGGGCCUCCACGACUGUGCAGAGAUGAAAGCACCAACUGACAGAAUCUUAGCCAGAGCCCUGGGUGUGAAAACACAGGGCUGGAAACGCCCAGAAGGGAGAGAUAAGGCCCGGUGGAGGAAAGGAGCAACUACCUCAAGGCGCCAAGAGAGGCCCCACAGGCACCAGCUGGGUGCCUCCCAGCACACAGAUACAGGGCCAAUUCCUAAGAAACAGAAAAGCCGAGCUGAGUCCGGAGUGCCUGCCUUGCUGAAGGGCCUGCUCUCCACCCAGCUGUGCUCUCCUCCAGCUACUGGGGGCCAGCUGGCCGUCCGCGGAGACGACGCCGGAACCACCACCGCUCGAUGCUCACGGUUCCCCUUUGCCACACGAGAGCAGCUACAACAACAUGGUCACUUCUGUCUGAAUCUUUCCUCCAGCAACAAACCUGCACUCACGUCCCUCCAAACCGGGCUCCAGUACUUCUCACCCCCACAGAGCCCUCUAUGGAGGCCUUUCUCUGACGGGCACCCCAAGCCCAGGCAGAGGCCCAUGCACCACUUGGAGGCCCUUGGACCCAGCCUCUUGACCCAGACAGACUCCAGCAAUCACCCGAGGUUCAUCUUCAAGGUCACUUAUAAUGCACACAACAGCCUUCAGCUUCCCCAAACCUCAUCCCAAGGCUUUAUCUUCUCUCUACCCAGCACUCCGGAGCAGUCUUCAGAAUGUCAACUGCCUUUCUUUACGCCUCCAGAGUUUGUGAUUUCUACCCAAUAAGCACCUGAAGGGCAUCGAGACGCCCCUGGCCGGCUAAGACAACCUAGGCCACUUCUCUGGCCCAAGUGGACUUUCAGCAACAUCUCCGAUGGAGUUGUCACAACAUGGUCCAAGGCUAGAAAGUACCCUUGGGAGCAGGACUCGGAGGCUUUGUGAUGACAAACAUGCACGUGGCCAGCAGGGAGACAGAGGGAGAGGUAACGGAGGGAGGGCACUGAGGUACGGGGAUGUGCGCCCCCGGAUACUACCUGCAAUACAGGCAGGAGGAGCCAGGAGCUGACCACACCGGCUCCACGUCCUGCACGCGGGUGGCUGGGUACGCAUGUGGCCCCUGCACUGUCCAGAAGACAAGCAGGGGAGGAUGAACCAGAGCAGGCGCCGAGGAGAACCAGUGACCUCCCGCUCUACACCAACACACACUGCCUGGGGCCCCCAGGAAGACCUGCUGGCAUGGCAGGGUCUUGCCCAGAGAAAGUUCAAGAUCUGUUUGAGAACAGCCACGGUGUCCCCACCUCAGUCGCUGAUGAAGAUGACACAAUGCAACACACUCCUCAGAAGUCGCUUUCCAUCUUAAGCACAGAGCCAGGCUCUGCUAGAAAUAAAACUCACACACCUUGUUUGCUCUCUGGGGAUAAGACUUUUGCUGUUCCAAAAUCUGUGAUCUGGAUGUGCAUAUCUUCAUUUAACAAAAUGUUUUCCGGUUUAAGGUCCCUGUAAAAGUAGAUUUUCACAUUUGAGAAGAAAUACUUAGAACAGCAACAUUAUUACGUACUCUAAAUUUUGCUGAAAACAAAAUGAACGAAUGACUGCAUAUGAUCCUUACAGACUGACAACCAGGGCUACAGGCCUAAAGCUCACAAGCAACAAGUGUGGACUGUACACAGUGGGGAUUCACCACCUCACAUCUCCACGUCAUUCUAACUAGCUUUUUAAUGAAGUAAAAUCUAUCAUCUUUAACGCACAAAAUGAAAGCUAUGCACACUUCUGAGCUGACUUUAUCAGAAACUCACGAAAAAUGAGACCAGAAAGAAGUACACACAGAAGCUACAACUGAAAAAGAUAACAAGCAUCAGUCAAGAUGGUGAAAAGAGUCAUGAGCUCGCCAGGAAAGACACGCAGCCAUUGGAUGUGGUAUUUGCAGGAGAGCCUCUCCACGUCAGCGCUCCACGGACGUGUGGCCUCGCCUUGGCAAUCAGGCUGUGGCACAGGCAGGCAUCUCAGUCACACCCAUCCAGAGAGCACUCCAACCAGGCUGACCUCAAGGGCGGGGGCCAUCUGGGCAUCAGCUGUGGCCUGUGAGCCAAACGGUCACUGGCCCUGAUCAUUAAACUGACGUCCUGCAAACCCCACCCAGCCACCCCCGAGGUUACCUGUGAAUGAUGCCCUUGCCGUGCAAGUACUCUAAAGCAGACACAAUCUCGGCCGUGUAAAAUCGGGUACAGGUCUCAUCGAAUGAACCGAUUUUGCGAAUAUAUUUAAGUAGUUCUCCGUUUUUGGCAUAACUAAGGCCGAAAUCUGAAUAUUGUGCAGUUAAGGAAGUGUAAAAACCUUUUGUUUUGUUUUGGAACAGGUUUACUCCCUUGCCCAGGCUGGAGUGCAGGGGCACAAUCAUAGCUCACUGCAGCCUCAACCUCCCUGGCUCAAGCGAUCCUCCCACCUUAACCAACCCAAGUGGCUGGGAAUGUAGGUACGCGCUACCACGCCUGGCUCGUGUUUUUUAUUUUGUAAAAGUCAUUUUUUGAAAACUAACCUUAAAAGUCUGAUGAGAAUUUUUAAUUAAAUGCAAACUGAAAGUA